rnacentral:miRNA from 1 species
AGCGCCAUUUUCAGAGCUAUAA